rnacentral:tmRNA from 22 species
GGACUUCAAAUCUUUACCCACAGCCCCUAUGUUACCUGUGAUGCUUCGGUAUCUAUAGCGAUAAAUGGCGUUCAGAAUAAGCGGCCCGGACCCGGGGGCGGUACCCGGCGGCUCCACCACAUGACUUCUCUCCCUCGGGGGGGGGGAGCCCUGCGGCGGGGCCGAAAUAGGAUCGACGGACGUGUAAAGGUUCGGCUUUCGCUCGGAUGGCCUCCGUUAUUGGGCCAUGAUGAAUAGUUGCCAAUGACAACUCUUCGGAAGGUUUCGCUCUCGCUGCGUAACGCGGUGCAAGCAAACCACUAUUAAAGCCCUAGGCCCUUUCCCGGUCUAGGCGGGGUCCCGGGGAACCUGGCAACAGAAUCCCCGACU